GGGCCUCUAGCUCAGUAGGUAGAGCACCGCCUCGGCAUGGCGGGGGCCGCCGGUUCGACUCCGGCGAGGUCCACAA
rnacentral:tRNA from 2 species